rnacentral:ncRNA from 1 species
UGAUAGCUAUGAAGCGCGAGGUUGCUGUUCAGAUAGAUAAAUGUAACAGGUUUUCCGUGGAGCGAAUGUCAAGUUAAGAAACUGGCGACAA